GGCCGGUUAGCUCAGUUGGUUAGAGCGUGGUGCUUAUAACACCAAGACUGCCAGUUCGAUCCUGGCAUGGGCCA